UUUUUUUUUUAACCAAAAAGAGAAAAAUUACAUUAAUACAAAUAGGAUUAUCAAAACAUUCAUGAUUAUUCUUAAUGUGUCUUAUCAAAUGUAGGCCACAUUUUUUUGAGCCCAAUGAUCUAAAAAUUAAUACGAAGUGCAUCAAUGUUUCGUUUUCCUUCUGGGCCCUUAGAGUACCAUGAUGACACAUAGUCUUCAUAAUUAACCUCACGGUACCUAGGAGGGGAAGACUCAUUAACAAGCUGAAAAGCAGGGGAUAUUUUCAUUUUCUUGGCUGGGUCAUGAAAUGUCGCAACGGAGAGUCUUGGCCGCCUUGAAUUAGUUAUGGCUCGAUGUUGAGCACUCUUGUACUUCCCAUUACUUAUAAUCUCAAUUUGGUCAGAAAGAAUGGCAACAAUGGCAUCACAUAAAGGGCGCACAGUGAACCACUGAGAUUCCUUCAAAACCUGAAGACCCUCAACUUGAUCUUGAAUUAAAAGUGUGAUGGCACCCAUAUCAGAAUGAGACUGAAGUCCUAGUGUAAGGUCAGGCUGAGGACAAGGAGGGUAAUAGCUGAUGGUAAUAUUCUGAUAGAAUUCACCAACUGCAUUCUCAAUGCCAGAUGAUGGUAGCCCCAGACUUUCUGAGAUGAGGCCCAAUAACUUCUGAGCAAGCACCUUCAUUUCAUCACUAUGCUUCCCCACGACUUCCCUGUAAUUGGGAAGGAAGUGAGGCCAACGAGAAGGAUUACGUCGAGAAAGAGGUAAAGUGUGGUGGUCAAAGUAGUCCCUCCAGUCCAAGACACCACAGUUAGAGUUGUCAACUAGCAUCUUGCUUCCAUAUCCUUCGGAGGCCGCGGAAGUGGGAUCACAUGCGUACUUGAGCUUGUCUUGAAAGGGGCAAUCAUUGAAAAAAGAAAAGCCAACACUCCUUAUCUGGUCCAUUAAUUCGAUGGGAACCCCAUGGUUGGUUACUUGGAAUGCCCCCCAUUCCCUGCAAGCCUCACCAAUUGCCUUUCUAACUGAAUCUCUGUGUUCUGGAUCAAACCCAAACAAGUCAAGCACUGGAAUAUUCAUAAUACCAGCGACAUUGUCUUUCUUAUGGAUGGGUCGAUUCUCAUGGGGCUGGAUAUAUUGGGAAGGGAUCUCUGCUACGCCUGCUUGUACUAGGCUUUGGACUCUCAUCACAGUGUUUCUCCCUGCCUCCAUUCCUUGUAAUUCAAACUCAAACUGAAAAGUAUAAAUCAUUAGAAGCCAUUUACUUGUAAAAAAAGUUUUAAAAAAGUUUUCCACUUUCAAGCUCCAUUUCAGUAAAAGCAGACCAGAAUCUGAAUGAUUUUGUAGGGCAGAACAGAGAAGAGAAGAGAUGGAGAUCAAGGUCGUUUGAUUAAGUUGAUAUGGAGGUCGUCCCUUGAAAGGGAAGAGACGCGCCUUUCUCAGAUACAGGUCGGAAUGGCAGCGAGUUAUAGAAAUCUUUUUUUUUUUUUUUGAUAAAGAUUUAUUGUUUUUU
rnacentral:misc_RNA from 1 species